GAUGAAUGCUGGCGGCGUGCCUAACACAUGCAAGUCGAGCGGCAGCGAGUUUUACACUGAAUUCUGGAAGCUUCUGGGUAAUAUAGAAGAUUUAUUCAAGAAUUUUGUGUAAAAUGUCGGCGAGCGGCGGACGGCUGAGUAACGCGUAGGAAUUUGCCCCAAAGUGAGGAAUAACUGCCCGAAAGGGUAGCUAAUGCCGCAUAUGGUCUUCGGAUUAAAGCCUUCGGGCGCUUUGGGAGAAGCCUGCGUUGGAUUAGGUAGUUGGUAGGGUAAUGGCCUACCAAGCCGACGAUCCAUAGCUGGUCUGAGAGGAUGAUCAGCCAGACUGGAACUGAGACACGGUCCAAACUCCUACGGGAGGCAGCAGUGAGGAAUCUUCCACAAUGGGCGAAAGCCUGAUGGAGCAACGCCGCGUGAAGGAUGAAGGCCUUCGGGUUGUAAACUUCUUUUAUGAGUGAAGAAUAUGACGGUAACUCAUGAAUAAGCACCGGCUAACUACGUGCCAGCAGCCGCGGUCAUACGUAGGGUGCAAGCAUUAUCCGGAGUGACUGGGCGUAAAGAGUUGCGUAGGCGGUUUAAUAAGUGAAUAGUGAAACCUGGUGGCUCAACCAUACAGACUAUUAUUCAAACUGUUAAACUCGAGAAUGGUAGAGGUAACUGGAAUUUCUAGUGUAGGAGUGAAAUCCGUAGAUAUUAGAAGGAACACCGAUGGCGUAGCAGGUUACUGGGCCAUUUCUGACGCUAGGCACGAAAGCGUGGGGAGCGAACCGG
rnacentral:rRNA from 1 species